rnacentral:rRNA from 1 species
UACGAAGGGGGCUAGCGUUGCUCGGAAUCACUGGGCGUAAAGCGCGCGUAGGCGGAUCGUUAAGUCGGGGGUGAAAUCCUGGAGCUCAACUCCAGAACUGCCUUUGAUACUGGCGAUCUUGAGUCCGGGGGAGGUGAGUGGAACUCCGAGUGUAGAGGUGAAAUUCGUAGAUAUUCGGAAGAACACCAGUGGCGAAGGCGGCUCACUGGCCCGGUACUGACGCUGAGGUGCGAAAGCGUGGGGAGCGAACAGG